GACGAACGCUGGCGGCGUGCUUAACACAUGCAAGUCGAACGGUGAAGCGCCUUCCUUUUUGGUGGGUGUGGAUGAGUGGCGAACGGGUGAGUAACACGUUAGUAACCUGCCCCCUUCUUCUGGAUAACCGCAUGAAAGUGUGGCUAAUACGGGAUAUUCUGGGUCUGUCGCAUGAUGGGUCUGGGAAAGAUAUUGUUUCGGUGGGGGAUGGGCUCGCGGCCUAUCAGCUUGUUGGUGGGGUGAUGGCCUACCAAGGCGGUGACGGGUAGCCGGCCUGAGAGGGUGGACGGUCACACUGGGACGGAGACACGGCCCAGACUCCUAAGGGAGGCAGCAGUGGGGAAUAUUGCACAAUGGGCGCAAGCCUGAUGCAGCGACGCCGCGUGAGGGAUGGAGGCCUGCGGGUUGUGAACCUCUUUCGCCAGUGAAGCAGGCCUGCCUCGUUUGUGGGUGGGUUGACGGUAGCUGGAGAAGAAGCGCCGGCUAACUACGUG
rnacentral:rRNA from 1 species